UAGCUAAAUAAAAAUCCCAGGUUUUAGCACAAAUGCGUCCAGUCCAUCGUCCAGUCCAUCGUCCAAUCCAUAGUCCAGUCCAGUCCAGUCCAUAGUCCAGUCCAUAAUCCAGUCCAUAAUCCAGUCCAUAAUCCAGUCCAUAAUCCAGUCCAUAAUCCAGUCCAUAAUCCAGUCCAAAAUCCAGUCCAUAAUCCAGUCCAAAAUCCAGUCCAAAAUCCAGUCCAUAAUCCAGUCCAAAAUCCAGUCCAUAAUCCAGUCCAAAAUCCAGUCCAAAAUCCAGUCCAUAAUCCAGUCCAAAAUCCAGUCCAGUCCAUAGUCCAGUCCAGGUUUUAGCACAUGCC